GUUUGCCUGAGUUCUGUGAGCUGCUCAAGCAAAAUAAUUAAACUAGAGGAUGGAGUCAUGGGAACUACACUUAAUGCUCAAUUGUUCAGAAGCACAGAUUAAAACAACCUGAGACUUGUGACUAGAAUCUAAAGUGUGUGGGCAGUCCUGUGGGAUCUUACACUAUCUCCAGGUAGAUAGUGUCAGAACUGAAUUAAAUUAAAGGACACACAGCUGGUAUUCAUUGCUGAAUUGCUUGCUUGCUGUUGGGGAGAAGCCCCCACUCAUUUUGAGGUCACCAAAAUCUUCUGUAUUGAUUGCUGUUGAGUGAGAACAGAGGAAAAAUGCAAUUUGUUUUUUCCAACACAGGAGGCAAUUAGUAUUCAAAGAGGUCAUGUUGGUGGGACUGCCACGAUGGCAUUAGUAAGUUUAUAAGAAGAAGAGAAACCGAAGCUAGCACACUUACUUUGUCUUAUGUGAUGUCCUCGGACACGUUUUGAUGCAGCAUGAAGGCCCUAACUAGAUACCAAU
rnacentral:lncRNA from 1 species